rnacentral:rRNA from 1 species
AGAGUUUGAUCCUGGCUCAGGAUGAACGCUGGCGGUAUGCUUAACACAUGCAAGUCGAACGGGCUCUUCGGAGCUAGUGGCGGACGGGUGAGUAACGCGUGAGAAUCUGGCUUCAGGUUCGGGACAACAGUUGGAAACGGCUGCUAAUACCGGAUGUGCCUUAUGGUGAAAGAUUUAUCACCUGAAGAUGAGCUCGCGUCUGAUUAGCUAGUUGGUGUGGUAAGAGCGCACCAAGGCGACGAUCAGUAGCUGGUCUGAGAGGAUGAUCAGCCACACUGGGACUGAGACACGGCCCAGACUCCUACGGGAGGCAGCAGUGGGGAAUUUUCCGCAAUGGGCGAAAGCCUGACGGAGCAAUACCGCGUGAGGGAGGAAGGCUCUUGGGUUGUAAACCUCUUUUCUCAGGGAAGAAAAAUGACGGUACCUGAGGAAUAAGCAUCGGCUAACUCCGUGCCAGCAGCCGCGGUAAUACGGAGGAUGCAAGCGUUAUCCGGAAUGAUUGGGCGUAAAGCGUCCGCAGGUGGCAAUGUAAGUCUGCUGUCAAAGCGUCUGGCUCAACCAGAUAAAGGCAGUGGAAACUACAUAGCUAGAGUAAGGUAGGGGUAGAGGGAAUUCCUGGUGUAGCGGUGAAAUGCGUAGAGAUCAGGAAGAACACCGGUGGCGAAGGCGCUCUGCUGGACCUUUAACUGACACUGAGGGACGAAAGCUAGGGGAGCGAAUGGGAUUAGAUACCCCAGUAGUCCUAGCCGUAAACGAUGGAUACUAGGCGUUGCCCGUAUCGACCCGGGCAGUGUCGUAGCUAACGCGUUAAGUAUCCCGCCUGGGGAGUACGCAGGCAACUGUGAAACUCAAAGGAAUUGACGGGGGCCCGCACAAGCGGUGGAGUAUGUGGUUUAAUUCGAUGCAACGCGAAGAACCUUACCAGGGCUUGACAUGUCCGGAAUCUCUUGGAAACGAGAGAGUGCCUUCGGGAGCCGGAACACAGGUGGUGCAUGGCUGUCGUCAGCUCGUGUCGUGAGAUGUUGGGUUAAGUCCCGCAACGAGCGCAACCCUCGUUCUUAGUUGCCAGCAGUUCGGCUGGGCACUCUAAGGAGACUGCCGGUGACAAACCGGAGGAAGGUGGGGAUGACGUCAAGUCAGCAUGCCCCUUACGCUCUGGGCUACACACGUACUACAAUGCUAUGGACAAAGGGCAGCGAGCGUGCGAAUGCAAGCAAAUCCCAUAAACCAUGGCUCAGUUCAGAUCGCAGGCUGCAACUCGCCUGCGUGAAGGUGGAAUCGCUAGUAAUUGCAGGUCAGCAUACUGCAGUGAAUUCGUUCCCGGGCCUUGUACACACCGCCCGUCACACCAUGGAAGCUGGUCACGCCCGAAGUCGUUACCCUAACCUUUCGAGGAGGGGGACGCCGAAGGUAGGACUGGUGACUGGGGUGAAGUCGUAACAAGGUAGCCGUAC